rnacentral:rRNA from 1 species
AUUGAACGCUGGCGGCAGGCCUAACACAUGCAAGUCGAGCGGAUGAAGGGAGCUUGCUCCUGGAUUCAGCGGCGGACGGGUGAGUAAUGCCUAGGAAUCUGCCUGGUAGUGGGGGAUAACGUCCGGAAACGGGCGCUAAUACCGCAUACGUCCUGAGGGAGAAAGUGGGGGAUCUUCGGACCUCACGCUAUCAGAUGAGCCUAGGUGGGAUUAGCUAGUUGGUGGGGUAAAGGCCUACCAAGGCGACGAUCCGUAACUGGUCUGAGAGGAUGAUCAGUCACACUGGAACUGAGAAACGGGCCAGACCCCUAGGGGAGGCAGCAGUGGGGAAUAUUGGACAAUGGGCGAAAGCCGGAUCCAGCCAUGCGGGGUGGGUGAAGAAGGUCUUCGGAUUGUAAAGCACUUUAAGUUGGGAGGAAGGGCAGUAAGUUAAUACCUUGCUGUUUUGACGUUACCAAAAGAAUAAGCACCGGCUAACUUCGU